rnacentral:rRNA from 1 species
GACGAACGCUGGCGGCGUGCUUAACACAUGCAAGUCGAGCGGUAAGGCCCUUUCGGGGGUACACGAGCGGCGAACGGGUGAGUAACACGUGGGUGACCUGCCCUCAGCUCUGGGAUAAGCCUGGGAAACUGGGUCUAAUACUGGAUAUGACUCCACGGUGCAUGUCGUGGGGUGGAAAGCCUUGUGCGGCUGAGGAUGGGCCCGUGGCCUAUCAGCUUGUUGGUGGGGUGAGGCCUACCAAGGCGACGACGGGUAGCCGGCCUGAGAGGGCGACCGGCCACACUGGGACUGAGACACGGCCCAGACUCCUACGGGAGGCAGCAGUGGGGAAUCUUGCGCAAUGGGCGAAAGCCUGACGCAGCGACGCCGCGUGAGGGAUGAC